rnacentral:lncRNA from 1 species
AGUUGGACAUUAAGGUCACUGAAGUAGUCCCGCCAGUUUAUUUCCAUUCUGUUAUGUUUUUACAUUUCCGUUCCGGAGAAUGUACGAAGUUGAUAUACUAGAAAAUAGGCUAUAUUUUCCGGGGCAUUCGAUUCUCUUCGGUUCUUUCGGUUUUGUUCUUCAGUUCUAAACGUUUAGGUUUCAUUCAGGUGUUUAGAAAGUUCUGUUCGGUUUUGGUUUUGUUAUUUCGAUUCUCGGUUUGUUUUGGGCAACAAAGUUGGAAACGAGCUUAUAUCCGGAGUAAUUUCAUAUUUCAUUCGAUUUCGGCUUUUCGGUUAAUUCUGGUUAAAAAUUAAAUGACAAUCGGGUUAUUUGUAGGGCUUUCAGAUA